GACGAACGCUGGCGGCGCGCCUAACACAUGCAAGUCGAACGAGCGAGCGAGAGCUUGCUUUCUCUAGCGAGUGGCGAACGGGUGAGUAACGCGUGAGGAACCUGCCUCAAAGAGGGGGACAACAGUUGGAAACGACUGCUAAUACCGCAUAAGCCCACAGGUCGGCAUCGACCAGAGGGAAAAGGAGCAAUCCGCUUUGAGAUGGCCUCGCGUCCGAUUAGCUAGUUGGUGAGGUAACGGCCCACCAAGGCAACGAUCGGUAGCCGGACUGAGAGGUUGAACGGCCACAUUGGGACUGAGACACGGCCCAGACUCCUACGGGAGGCAGCAGUGGGGAAUAUUGCACAAUGGGGGAAACCCUGAUGCAGCGACGCCGCGUGAAGGAAGAAGGUCUUCGGAUUGUAAACUCCUGUUGUUGGGGAAGAUAAUGACGGUACUCAACAAGAAAGUGACGGCUAACUACGUG
rnacentral:rRNA from 1 species